ACAAAGUUCAGUAUGAAAUCUGUUUAGUAAUAAAGUUAGACUGGGGACAUCACCAUGUCUAUCAGUUCUUAUCUGUUUGAGUCCUACUUAGAAAUCCUUAAAAACAUUUUUAGAGUGCACAUGGUUUUGUCUAAAUUAAACUUCUAGUUUCCAGGGUCAAAAUACUUAUCCAUAAUGUCUGAAAGACUUGGUAUAAUUUAACAAUAUCCUCAAUCUAAUUUCUCAACACUAAAGAAGUUCUGACUAUGACUACAUAAGCUUCUACAUCUGAGAACCCAUGCCAAGUUCAUGCUCCCUUAUGCCUGCUUUUCUGUUUACAAAAAGUGGGGGUGGGAGCAGCAGGGUGAUUCCUUCUGUUUCUUAAAAGAUGUUUUUAGUAUAAUCGUGUUUACUUUCCUUGUGCUAGAAGUGGGGACUGGAUCUUUGCCAUUUCCUGAACAGUUAAUUAGCAAGCUGCUUACCUGCAGUGAUCUGCAAAUUCAUUGAUGCUUUCCUAAAGGGUUGUCAUGGUGGCUGCAGGCAAAGACUGGACAGGCAGAUUGAGAGUUCAGAAAACCGUAUUCCUGAGCGGGACUAGGUGUCUUUUUGCUUUCUAAUACAAAGUCCAGAUCAUUUGAACUCAGACUUCGGAGAUUAGCAUAACUGUCUUGAUAAGUUUGCUGUCUUUACAUGUCUCUGUACCAAGGUCUUUCUGCCUGUGGUAGCCCUCUGGAGAAGUGAUGUGCAGAAGAGAUCACCAGGAAGAACGUGCCAGCAUGAGCUUUUAUUUAAAAUCUGCCAUCCAUUAACUUAAAGGUUAAGCUGCCACCUACAUUUGGCAAUGUUAUAUGUUUCCAACAGUGUUUUCUCACUGUUAAAACAUUUGCAUAUAAUUUAAGAUUAUAGAGUAUACAUACUCUAUCAGCACUAGUCUAAAUGUUUUACCAUAGGGCUAAUACUGCAGACCUUUCUUCCUAAAGCAGUAAAGUAUCUUGGACCAAAUUUCCCUGGUUAUAUUACCACAUAUAUAUAUCUCCUAUUAAAGUUUAUAUUGACUUUAGAUAACAUUUCCAGUAGUAGAAAGAUGCUAAUGAAAUAUAAAGGGAAACUUGCGGCCCGAUAAAAUUACACGAUGAGGUGCUUCAGCUGUUGAACACAGUGAAGUAACUGCUGAGCUGGUUAUGUCUCUUGUGAUUUUAUUUGUAUUGAGUUCAUUUGAAUCUUUCCAAGUUGGCCCCUGUGUGUCUACUUUGUUUCAGUGGCCUUAGCAGAGGUGUACAGUACCCUUUCGUUUACGAGAUUAGAGGAGUACCACAAAUCUAAAACCUAAGAAUAAAGGGUGAGAUUAAAGCAUGUUACUGCGACUCUACAUCAUUUUGGGUAAAAUGUGAUCUUCAUUACUACUUUCGUAUAUAUAGGUUUCUAAAAUUUGUUGAAAUCAGUCAUUAAUGCUGGACCAGAAGAGUUCAGGUGGAUUAAUCUGUCAUCACUGUGGGCUCUUGGGGAUAUGGCUGCCUUGAGUCUGUUUAGAUUGCUUCCAAGCCUUUUCUGUUGAUUUUGUCCAUUGUCUCUACAGCCCCUAUGUGAGUUGGUGUUACAUUGUUAUUGACCAAAAGCCUGAAUUGCCCUAGAGAUUUAAAUUCUAAUAUUUACUUGCCAGGCGCUAAUGGACAUAAUCAUAACCCAAAAUGAAAAUAUAGUAAAUCAAAUAGCUUUUUUCUGCUGCGAAUUCAGUUGGCAUCUGGAUAUUUGAAUAGACCAAUUAAAAAUCCAAAUAUCUUGGCAAAUUCAUUGCUACAUCUUAGUGUUUAAAUUACAGCAGUAUUAGAGAUAUAAACCAAACAUACCUUAUCUAACAUCCCCCAAAACUCAUCAAUUCUAAUUCUAGUUAGAAAGUCUUCAAAACUCCUGUCUAAAGCUUUGAUUUGUAAUAAAUAGGAUUAACUAAGUUUGUGCAUUUAUGAAUAGAAUCUUUAACAGUUUUUAAGAACUCUGCAAAGAAUAGCAUUGGUGAUUAACUUGAUAAUUUCAUUAAAUUUUUUGUUUGAGACAGGGUCUCGCUCUGUCGCCCAGGCUGGAGUGCGGUGGUGUGUGUGAUCUCGGCUCACCGUAGCCUCUGCCUCUCGGGCUCAAGCGCUCCUGCCGGCUCGGCCUUUCAGAGUGCUGGGACUACACGCGUGAGGCACUGUGCCUGGCCAACUUGAUAAUUUCAAUAGCAAAACUGAGUAUCCUAUAGAAUGCUUGUUUCUUAGUUGGUAUAAGUUGCUAAGUAGAAGUAAUCAUUAAUUCAACUCGAUAAACCUGGUGGGUUUUGUGUUUCGUUCGUGUCAUUUGUGAAGCCCGACAGGAAGAGUGGAGCCCCGCGCUGUGGUGCCUGUGUGCGCGCGUUCUAAAGCGUGUUGGAAACGUCUACAGUGGCAGCUAGCAGCCACGCGGCCUUGGCCACCCCCGAGCUCACGUCCGGCCUGGGCAGGGGCCACCGCCUCCGAACGCAUCUCUCUGCCUCCCUGGGAGGAGGCGGCCAGGACUGCGCUGUGGCCGGACGGCGGAUGAGGCUUCUUUCAACAAGGCGAGUUUCAGUGAGAAAUGCGUGAUGCUUUUGAUGUUUCAACAGAAUAUUGUUUCUAAGAUUAUGUAUCUUGCAUGUUUGGCACUUGAGGGGGUGCUCAUCUUUUGAUUCCGCUAUUGAGGUAGAGGCGGGACGGGGGAAGCAGCUUUCCUUAGGACCCGCCCCCCUUGACCUGUCAGUUUACCAUUUGCCAUGGCAACACCCGGAAGUUGCCACCCCCUUUCCAUGGCAACACCCUGACGGCCGGAAGUUACCACCCUUAUUCUAGAAAUCUCUGCAUAAUCUGUCAGUUUGCAUAUAAUUUACAGUGGGUAUAAAUGUGAGUGCAGCCCUGCCCUGUCCUCAGCUGCUGCCCUGGGCGCCCUGCCUUUGGGGUUACUGUGGUUGCUCCUGCGCUUCAGCGGGACUAGAAGCUGCCGCCCACGAGCAGCGGGGAAGAAACCUUUCUGGGCAAAGCCAUGAGCCCUCCGAGGCUAAGCCCCAGUUUGGGGGCUCACCUGCCUUGCAUCAUUCUGAGUCCUGUACUGGAGGCAGAUCAGGCUGCAUCUCCUCAGGGUGAGCGCUUGUGGCCUCAGAGUAAAGGGCUUUUCUUAGGACGCGAGACCAUUGCUGGGAGAGGCAGAUUAGGCUGGGGAUCUGGACUCCGUUCCUAGUAUCUGCUACCUCAGGACGGAGACGAAAAUGCUAUAAAAUGUUUAACCGUGUGAUAACGACUCUCCUAGAAAGGAAAGGGGAUGCUUCUGAGGAGACUCAGUGCUCCCCACAGAACUCCCCAGCGAUCCCAGAUGGGAGAAGCUGAGCUGUGCUGGCGCUGCCCUCACUCCGGGGGUGAAACGUGGCUGUGAUUUCCACAGGUGACAGAAACCAAGCAGUGAUUCAACUCAUAUUUGACUUUCACAUUCUCCAGCAAUGUUUUUCAAUCUGGGAAGGGUAGAAAAUUAAAGUCAAAGAAAGGUAAGGUGAGUUAAAAAAUGAGAUCAUUUCAAAGUAGAUGCAGUCUUGAAGCCCAAAUGAAUUACAAGAUCCAGUUUGAAAGCUGCUGCAGAAGUGAUUGCAGAAUCGCACGGUGGCCCUGGAAUGGGGAACUGCGGCUGAAAGAGGUCAGAAAGGGUGGGGACUGAAUUUCGAGUAAGAGGACGCCAGUACGUUCACACGUACAUUAUUUCAGACUCCAAGUUUACAUCUCUAAGCCCAUCCAAGCCACGGCAGCGCGAACCUCUCCCUCCCCCAGCUCAAGGCCUCUGGUCCCCCAGGACAGAGGACAGGAGAAGAGCCAGCCCCUCCUGGCUCAGGGGUGCCGGGACCCCGUGAUGGCUGCUGUGCCUCUCCUGAGGUGCCAGGUGAGAGCUGAGACCUGCUCCCGCUGCAGCAGCUCCGUUUGUCUCCAGGUGCAGUGUCAGUCUCGUUCUCUAAGCCCUUCUGAGGUCCCAUCAGCACAGGUCCCGUCUUACCUGGAAAGGCUUGUUGCCUUGUGCCUGGGACUUUUUAUUCUGUGCUUUUCUUUUGGAUAUUAAAUUUCAUAUCCACGCUUGCUUGUCACUCAGACCUUAUUGCCCUCUCCCUCCCAUUGGAACACUCUAGUCAUUUCUGUUUUCAACUACGAACCAGCCUCAUUCAUGGUGAGAAAUUAAUGCUCCCUGGGUGUGGUCAGCAGACGGUAUCAAACCAUGCAAUCUUUUAAGGUCCAUUCAAACACAGACCUCCAAAAUGAUUUAUUGUUACACAUAUUCUGGUCAUAAGGCGUUUUCAAAUCAUAGGUAAAUAGGACAGUGUGUGUGUGCAAAAGAAUGAUUGUGCCCAGGAAUCUCGGUAAACAGGCCAACUAAGAGCCCAAAAUAUAUUUCUAGAGUGCUUACACCCAGAAGUGAGUACUGAUUUGCUUUUACUUAAUAUUUGGAAUAUAUGGGGUGCCAGGAGGACCCAAGUAUGAAGUAUUUAUGUGGGUGGUGAGACUAGGAGUGAUUUUGUUGUGUUUUUAUAUUUUAAAAAUUUUCUAAAACGAAUGUGCAUUUAGUCCUCUAAAAAUAUAAGUGGUGUCCCAUUUAACAGUGCUACCAGUUGGAAAAACUGAUUAACCCCAUUUACCCAUUAAUUUAUUGUAUAUAAAGUUGUUGCUGUCAUUGUUGAAAUUAGGUGCUGCUAGAUUGUGCAAGUAUCAAAGUUUGAAGUUCAAGAGGCAAAAAAAGUGGGUCAUCUGAUUGGUUGUUGAUCACUCCAACAGCAAAGUUCUAGGCAAUUAAUGUUUUUGUUACUUUUGAAACAUAAGGGCAAGGAAUUAACAAAAAGUGUGCAGGACAGGGACAACUCCUCCCCCCUGGCCUCAUAACAAUGUUCUUGAAGUUUGCUUUUUCUUCUCUACCACUUGCAUUUGCUGAGCAGAAAGUGUUGGGGUGUGUACUCCACAGGAGUGGUUCACGGAGAUGAUGCUGCCCUGGCACCAGCACCCUGAGCCCUAAGCUGAGGCAGAGCGAAGAGGGCUCCAACUGGCAGAGGAAGGACUGGUGGUGCUUGGAGUUGGCUGUGGAGCCAAGCAGGGUGGUGAGGAAGGGUCCCCUGCGGAAGGUGAGAAUGGCCCCUGUCAGUGUGAGUGGGGCUGGGAGGCUGAGAGGUAGCUGUGAAGGGGCAUUGGGCCUGGAGAUGGGGGAGGGCACCUGUGUGGGGAAGAGGGUGGUGGUGGUGACGGGAGGUUGGUGGUUACAUUCAGGGGACUGAUCAGCACAUAAGUAUAUUAAGGGUAAUGGGAGCAGGUUUCUUACAAAUAAGGAAAGGAAGAAUCAAUAGAGAUGCACAUGUAUGUUUGUAUGUGAGAGAGAGAGAAAGAUCAUCUCCAAGACCACCCUCAGGUUUAGUGAGUUUCAGAAAGAACUCACAGGCCUCAGAAGUCAUUCUGCUCAUGGCUACAGUCUCCCUAAGGGGACACUGUAAGGGGAAAAGGCACAAGGCAACAGCUGCAGGAAGCCUGUGUGAGUUGUGAGCAUCCUCUCCUAGGGCAGUCAUGCGGGAUGCUCCUGACUCCUCCAGCAGUGAGCUGUGAUGAUGUGUGAGGUGCUGUCUACCAGGAUGCUUGCCUGAGCCUGAGUUCUGUGUGUGGUUUGGGGGAUUGGUGCCAUAGGCACACAGGAGGCUACAGAACCCUGGAAGAAAAUCGGGGGUUCAUUGUAAGUCACAUCAGUUGUAUGAAUUGUCCAGAAAUUAUCUGGACAGAAGGGUGCAGGUGAUGCAUGUUUCUAAGUGUGCAAAACACUCAUGCUACAGUGUCCAACUUUUUUUUUUUGUUUUGAGACGGAGUCUCGCUCUGUCGCCCAGGCUGGAGUGCAGUGGCGCAAUCUCAGCUCACUGCAAGCUCCGCCUCCCGGGUUCACGCCAUUCUCCUGCCUCAGCCUCUCCGAGUAGCUAGGACUACAGGCGCCCGCCACCACGCCCGGCUAAUUUUUUUUUUGUAUUUUUUUUUUUAGUAGAGACGGGGUUUCACCAUGGUCUCAAUCUCCUGACCUCGUGAUCCGCCCGCCUCGGCCUCCCAAAGUGCUGGGAUUACAAGCGUGAGCCACCGCGCCCGGCCAGUGUCCAACUUUUUUGGCUUCUCUGGGCCACAGUGGAAGAAGAAUUGUCUUGGGCCACAUAUAAAAUACACUAACACUAAUAAUAGCUGAUGAGCUAAAAAAAAAAAAAAAAAAGUCCAUGCAUAAUUUUCAUGAUAAUCUUAUUAAAAAGUGGGCAAAGGACAUGAAUAGACAUUUUUCGAAAGAAGACAUACAUAUGGCCAACAGGUAUAUGUAAAAAUGCUCAACAUCACUAAUCAUCAGAGAAAUGCAAAUUAAACCACAAGAUAUCUCAUCCUUACCCUAGUCAGAAUGGCUAUUAUUUAAAAAGUCCCAAAACAGAUGUUGGCAAGAAUGCAGAGAAAAGGGAACUCUUAUACGCUGUGGGAAUGUAAAUGAGUACAACCUCUGUGGAAAACUGGAGAUUUCUCAAAGAACUAAAAAUAGAACUAUCAUUUGAUCCAGCAAUCUUCCUACUGUGUAUCUACCUAAAGGAAAAGAAAUCAAUAUAUCAAAAAGAUACAUGCACUCUUAUGUUUAUCGCAGUACUAUUCGCAAUAGCAAAGAUAUAGAAAUUAGCCUGAGUGUCCAUCAGUGGAUGACUGGAUAAAGAAAAUGUGGUAUAUAUAUAUACGCAGUGGAAUACUAUCCAGUCCUAAUAAAGGAUAAAAUAACGUCUUUAGUGACAACAUGGAUAGAUUGGAGGUCGGUAUCUUAAACAGGUCAGAUCCCAAAAGGCAAAUAUCAUGUGUUCUCACUCAUGAGUGGUAGCUAAAAAAUGUGUGCACAUGGAUGUAGAGAGUGGAAUGACAGACACUGGAGACUUGGAAGGGUGAAGAGGGUAGGAGGUGGGUGGGUGGUGAGAACUUAAGGAGUACAAUGUAUGUUAUUUGGGUGACGAUACCCUAAAAGCCCUCACUUGACCAGCACACAUUGUAUGCAUAUAUCCAAUUAUGCACGGACCUUUUUUUUUUUUUAAAAGAUCAUCAGCUAUCGUUAGUGUGUGCAUGCUGAAUAGGGUAUCCAAAACUAUACUUGUACCCCACGGAUUUAUACAAAUAAAAAAUGGUUACUUGUAAGGAUGACUAUAAGAUUUCUGCUUAGAUUACUAUUGUAGUAGCGUUCACCUAAGACAUUCUUUGUCCAAAAUACUUUCAAAUACAAAAAUCAUGAUUCCAAGAAAGUGAAGAAACAGGAUGCUCAGAGAAAGGAUUGCCCGUUUCUCACUGAUUGUCUUUCUGUGGGUCAGUGGUGCUGAGCAGGGAAUUCCCUUCAAUAUUUUCAACAUCAACUUGAGUGACCCUUUACAUAUAAGCAGACUUUUAAUUCCAAAUUUUUGUUUGUUUGUUUGAGAUGGAGUGUCGCUCUGUUGCCCAGGCUGGAGUGCAGUGGUGCGAUCUCAGCUCACUGCAAGCUCCACCUCCCAGGUUCAUGCCAUUCUCCUGCCUCAGCCUCCUGAGUUAGCUGGGACUACAGGCGCACACCACCAUGCUUGGCUAAUUUUUUUUGUAUUUUCAGUAGAGACAGGGUUUCACUGUGUUAGCCAGGAUGGUCUUGAUCUCCAGACCUUGUGAUCCGCCCGCCUCGGACUCCCAAAGUGCUGGGAUUACAGGCAUGUGCCACCACGCCUGGCUAGUUUUGUAUUUUUAGUAGAGACAGGGUUUCUCCAUGUUGGUCAGGCUGGUCUCGAAUUCCCAACCUCAAGUGAUCCACCUGCCUCAGCCUCCCAAAGUGCUGGGAUUACAGGCAUAAGCCACCACGCCUGGCCUAAUUCCAAUGUUUGACCGAGGAAUGAAGUCACUUACACUGGAUGACAGAGUCUGCCUAUUGCUGGCUAGAAUAGACAGUGAAGGUGCAUUCCCGAAUAAAUCAAAGGUGGUGGAUGGUGUCUUUUCUUAGCCAGACUGUGUGGAUAAACGUUGCAUUUUGAUUUAUUUAUUUUUUUGAGACAGGGUCUCACUCUGUUGCCUAGGCUGGAGUGCAGUGGUGCAGUCAUAGCUCACUGCAGCCUUGACCUCCUAGGAUCAAGUGAUCUUCCCACCUCAGCCACCUGAGUAGCUGGGACUACUUUUUUUAUUUUAGGCAAAGAGAAUGUACUUGGCUAAUUAUAAAAACAUUUUUUUGUAGAGACAAGAUCUGUGUUGCCCAGGCUGGUCUUGAACCCCUGAGCUCAAGAGAUCCACCUUGGCCUCCCAAAGUGAUAAGAUUACAGGCAUGAACCACUGCACCCAGCCUGCAUUUCUAAAAACCGAUAGAUGGGGUGAGAAAAACACUGAAGCCAGAACAUACAGGUGCAAAUUAUGGCUCUGAAAAGUAUUUGUGGGAUAUUAGAAAUAUUAGUGUGCCUUCAUUUUCUCAUCUGAAAAGUAAUGGCAAAUGGUAAAAACUCACAGUAUCCUCCUUCUGGCUCUCUUUUUCUUGUCAUUUAUUGAUAAAUGAAUUGUGUGUUUUUUUGUUUGUUGCCUGUUUCUGAAGCAUGAACUCCAAGGAAACACUGGUUUACUCAUCGACACUAAUAGGAUCGUUAGUAACUGAACACCAGAGAGAAUGUGACAGCCUCUGAAUAAAGAGCUUAUGCUGGCAUGGGAAACAAACGCAGAACCAUCGUGGCAAGCGGAGGACAUGAAGUCGGGGUGUCAGCGUUUUGCCUGUUACCUGUUACCACCCAUUACACAGAAGUAGAUUUGGGACUCAGGUACUCUUAUUAGUUUGUGUGGUGCCCUCUGCGGCCUGGCUCUGGAUCUGCAGCCCAGUUACUGAAAGUAGAUUUGGGGCUCAGAUCCUGUCAUCCAUGUAUGUGGUGCCCUCUGCAGUCUGCUUCUGUGCAGUUCUCUUUUUAUGACUGGUAGUCUCUGUGGCCCAGUUCUGUGGAGGUGGUUUUCCAUCUCUGAUUCUCUCAUCAGUGUGUGCUGGUCUUUGGAGUCUAAUUAAUUCGAAGUUGAUUUUGGAUAUUAUCCUCAUUCGCGUGUGGUGCUCCCUGUGGUCUGGCUUUGUGGAAGUCGAUUUUGGAUUCUGAUCCUGUCAUACAUCUGGCAUUCUGCAGUCCCAUCAUAUGGCAUUGUGCCCUUCUUAUGCCGCAGUCUUACUAUGAGAAAGGAGGUUCCAUACUCUGAUCCUCUCAUCUAUAUGUUUGGGUCUCUGCAGUCUGGCCUCAGAUGGGUUUCACAUGGGGUGUGUAAUUUGGCUCUGAAGUGGUAAGACAGACUUUUCUGUCACCACGGCCAUGUUGCUUAAUGGCUCACCUGACAGUCUACUGGAAGUACAAUUCUUGUAAAAGAGCUCUUGCCUGGCACUUUGUCUUAAGAGCAAGGGGACUCAAGUCAAGAAAUAAUGUGUUUAUCUUCAAAGCUCCCUGGGAAAGCAAAUUUGGAAAACGACACUCAUUUUCUGGGUUGCAAGACCAAUGAUGAAUCAUGUUGUUUGCUUUUUAUUACUGUUAUAGAUUUUAUGUCUCUCCUUGGGAACCUGGCUCAGUAUUGAAAACAUUCUCAAUACCCUCAAGUUGUUUUUUUUUUCCCCAUGAGGAUAAAGGAGAAUAAAACACAAGAUAAAUGAGGAAAGGUAAGAGGGAAAAAAGAAUUUGUAUACUGAUUUGGAGUGUCUUCAAGAAUGAAUAGGAGAUGUUCAAAGCAGAAAGGAGAACGUUAAGAAGACUAGGUGUACAGAUGUGGCACCAGAAUGGUGGUGGUGGGAGAUAAUUCAAAAAAUAGUAUUUGUGCACUUAGGAAAUACUUUUGCAGGUUACCUGAUGUGAAAUUACAAUAUUGAUACCAGCACAUAACAUCCUAGAGGGAAAUCCUAUGUGCUUGUUGGAGAGGGUCUUGGUCAUCAAGUCCAAGUUUAUAGGCAAGUCCUAUAAGCUUGGGGGAUUAGCCAAUGGUUCUCAAAUGUGAUUCCUGCACCAGCAGCAUCAGCAUCUACUGGGAACUUGUUAGAAAUGAAAAUUCUCAAACCCCACCCAAGUUCCUUAAAUCAGAGCCUCUGGGGUAAUCCAGGCACUCUUUAUUUGUUUUGUUUUUUUGAGACGGAGUUUGCUCUGCUGCCCAGGCUGGAGUGCAGUGGUGUGAUCUUGGCUAACUGCAACCUCAGCCUCCCAGGUUCAAGUGAUUCACCUGCCCCAGCCUCCAGAGUAGCUGGGAUUACAGGUGCACGCCACCGCGCCCAGCUAUUUUUUUGUAUUUUUAGUAGAGCCGGCGUUUCGCCAUCUUGGCCAGGCUGGUCUUGAACUCCUGACUUCAGGCAAUCUGCCCGCCUUGGCCUCCCAAAGUGCUGGGAAUACAGGCAUGGGCCACUGUGCCUGGCCAGCAGGCGCUCUUUAAACAAGCUGUUCGAGGGGACGAGGGUUCAUCCUCCGGUUUGUUUGAAACAGGAGGUCCUUGAGCUCACGCUGAGUGGCUUACCUUUCUAGAAAAGCGCAAGCUGGGAAUCAGCUAAGUAGGUUCAUACUUUCAGUAGGAAUGGUACACAUUAAGUAUCUUAGUGCAUUUGGGAACUGGCCAUUAGUGCAGCCUUACACCAUUUUAAUAAACUAUUCAGACCGUGUGAGUUUUAGUGCUGCCAUAAAAAACUUCAUACUAGUGCCAGCUUUUAAAAUGCGAGGAUCAAGAGUUGACCCUACCACACUUGGUUCAUACUUGCAUCCUUUAAAAACAUUCCACAGAGGUGCAGGUAACUUACAUGUCCUUCUGUUGGAAAAUUUAGAUUUUCGCUAAAAUGGAUUUCAUAACAAUCAUGGCAUUUUUUAGAUACCUUUGCACCUUGCCAUAAAACUCUCACUUGCUGUGAUCAUUUUAUGUGAAACCAUAAAAUAUGAAAUACCCUCACCGAAUUGUGAAUAAAUUCACCAUAUGAUGUGGACUAUCAGGUCAGGGAAACCCAAGCCUGAGGCCACACCCAGCUGGCAGCCAGGGGCACAUGUGGCCUCUGCUCACACUUAAGCCUCGUAUCUCAUCCUGCUGAAACUGGACAUUAGUUUUGGAGAGUGUACUCAGUGUUGGCACUUGACUCCUUCCUCAUCAGACUGUGGGGGUCAACUGUCCAGCCACCGACAGUCCAGAGUUGCUGUGCGGACUCAGCAGGUGGCGAGUACUUGUGAAGCUCCUAGUGGGGUACCCGUGCUGCCUCCAGGAUGCUGGUGCUCAAUGUGAUCACAUCUGUAAUUUGCUGAGUAAUUGAAUUUGUAAUUGUAAUUUGAAUCUUGAUGGCUGCCAGAACGACAGUGUUCAUGAAAACUGUGCCAACCAGGGCAUAUUUAGGAAGGGUUGUAUGCUGUAUAAAUAUUCAGAAAAGCUUUUUCAAAAAGACUUUGAGAGAGGGUUCUGGACUGUCAUCUGUCUAUCUGAGCUUGGGCCCAUUUUCUCAUCUACUUUCCUCAGAGAAUGUGUGCAGAUUCAGUGAAAGAUGGCACAUGAUAGGCACUUGACAAAUCUGUCAUUCUCUUUUUGAGGGAUUACUUUAUCUCUGGUAUUCUCUUCCACUUAGAACACAGCUGAAAUAUUCAUGCUUUUUGUUAACUCAAAAGUCAAAAAAGCUUUUAUUCUCUGAUAUAUAAAACCAAGAAAACUUUAAUACAUAAUAUGACAUAGUUUUUUUUAAAAGGAGAAAGUGGCAGAAGUACAGACCUGUGUAGAAAAAUACACUCAAGCAGCUGUUCCAAGCAGUAAUUCCUAAAAUUAUGAAUAGCACACAAAUCU